rnacentral:rRNA from 1 species
ACUCCUACGGGAGGCAGCAGUAGGGAAUAUUGGUCAAUGGGCGAAAGCCUGAACCAGCCAUGCCGCGUGUCAGAUGAAGGUCCUCUGGAUUGUAAAUGACUUUUCUACGGGAAGAAUGAGCCGUCUGCGGACGGAAGUUGACGGUACCGUAGGAAUAAGCACCGGCUAACUACGUGCCAGCAGCCGCGGUAAUACGUAGGGGUGCAAGCGUUGUCCGGAUUUACUGGGUUUAAAGGGUACGUAGGCGGUUGUGCCAAGUCUGGGGUGAAAGUUUGCAGCUCAACUGUAAAAUUGCCUUGGAUACUGGUCGGCUAGAGUAGUGGAGCGGUGGCUGGAAUUUAUAGUGUAGCGGUGAAAUGCUUAGAUACUAUGAGGAACACCAAUUGCGAAGGCAGGUCACUGGUCACUAACUGACGCUGAGGUACGAAAGUGUGGGGAUCAAACAGGAUUAGAUACCCUGGUAGGCUAGCG